UACAGAGGUCUCAAGCGUUGUUCGGAUUCAUUGGGCGUAAAGGGUGCGUAGGCGGCGCGGUAAGUCGGGUGUGAAAUCUUGGAGCUUAACUCAGAACGGCCAAGUGAUACUGCAGUACUAGAGUGCGGAAGGGGCAAUCGGAAUUCUUGGUGUAGCGGUGAAAUGCGUAGAUAUCAAGAGGAACACCUGAGGUGAAGACGGGUUGCUGGGCCGACACGUGACGCUGAUGCGCGAAAGCCAAGGGAGCAAACGGG
rnacentral:rRNA from 1 species